rnacentral:rRNA from 1 species
GACGAACGCUGGCGGCGUGCUUAACACAUGCAAGUCGAACGGAAAGGCCCUGCUUUUGUGGGGUGCUCGAGUGGCGAACGGGUGAGUAACACGUGAGUAACCUGCCCUUGACUUUGGGAUAACUUCAGGAAACUGGGGCUAAUACCGGAUAGGAGCUCCUGCUGCAUGGUGGGGGUUGGAAAGUUUCGGCGGUUGGGGAUGGACUCGCGGCUUAUCAGCUUGUUGGUGGGGUAGUGGCUUACCAAGGCUUUGACGGGUAGCCGGCCUGAGAGGGUGACCGGCCACAUUGGGACUGAGAUACGGCCCAGACUCCUACGGGGGGCAGCAGUGGGGAAUAUUGCACAAUGGGCGGAAGCCUGAUGCAGCAACGCCGCGGGCGGGAGGACGGCCUUCGGGUUGUAAACCGCUUUCGCCUGUGACGAAGCGUGAGUGACGGUAAGGGGUAAAGAAGCACCGGCUAACUACGUGC